rnacentral:lncRNA from 1 species
GUUUCUUCACCACUGCCACGAAACUUCUUCUUAUUUUAUUGUCAUUUAUUUAUUUCCUCAUUUAAUCCGGCUUAGAGCAUAACGUUUUUGUUAAAAAAUGUCUUAUGCUGGUAAGGUGGAGACUGAUGUUGAAAUCAAGGCUCCUGCUGUGAAGUUCCACGAAUUCUUCUCGCAGAGGCCACACCAUCUAUCCAGUAUCAGCUCUGAUAAAAUUAAGGGUUGUGAUUUACACGACGGUGACUGGGGAAAAGUCGGCUCUGUCGUCAACUGGAAUUAUGUCCACGGUAAUUAAUUAGGCUUCAUAAAUGUAGCUAAUGUUGGGCUAUGUAUAUGACUUACUGCUUGAUUAGAGUUUGAAUUAACGUAGUCGUAGACUCGUAAGUUGAAUAAUAUCUGAUAAUCAUCGUUCAUUAAACAUGCUUAAUCUUCAAUUACUAAUUACAUGGUGAAAUUAUUGGCAGAUGGGAAAGCUAAGGUUGCUAAGGUGGUAUUCGAAGCCAUAGACGACGAAAAGAACUCGAUCACUCUGAGAGUUGUAGAAGGAAAUCUUCUGGAGCAUUACAAGAGCUUCAAGAUCACAGUUCAAGCAACUCCAAAAGGGGAGGGCAGCGUGGUGCAUUGGACUUUUGAAUAUGAAAAGGUGCAUGGCGAUGUCACAGACCCACAUACGUUGCUCCAGUUGGCAGUUGAUAUCACCACAGAUAUUGGUGCUCACCUUACUGCCUAAGCUUGCAUAAAACGCCUAAGGCUCCCAAUCUGUGUGUUGCUGGCUGUUACUCUAUCUGAAAUGCGCAUGUAUAAAUAAAUGAUUUGGAGCCAUCAUCUUUCCUAUCAAUCAUAUGUUUGUAUGUUAUAAUUGGGGUUAUGCCCUAAUUACUGGCUUUUAUAUACGUCCUCCUAUCAAAUUAUUAUUAUUAUUAAUAAAUGAAUGAUAUGUGUGUACGUAUGUUUUUGCUAAAAUUAAAUUUGGGUUACGUG